GAAGAAGGUCUUCGGAUCGUAAAGUUCUUUUCUUAGGGAAGAAACCAUGACGGUACCUAAGGAAUAAGCACCGGCUAACUACGUGCCAGCAGCCGCGGUAAUACAGAGGGUGCGAGCGUUAAUCGGAAUUACUGGGCGUAAAGCGUACGUAGGCGGUCAAGUAAGUCGGGUGUGAAAGCCCUUGGCUUAACUAAGGAAUUGCAUUCGAUACUACUUGACUAGAGUACAGGAGAGGGAAGCGGAAUUCCUAGUGUAGCGGUGAAAUGCGUAGAUAUUUCUCAGAACACCAAUUGCGAAGGCAGCUUACUAAGUCAAAACUGACGCUGAGGGACGAAAGCGUGGGUAGCGAACAGGAUUAGAUACCCUGGUAGUCCACGCUGUAAACGAUGAUUACUCGUUGUUGGCGAUAUACAGUCAGCGACUGAGCGAAAGCAUUAAGUAAUCCACCUGGGGAGUACGCCGGCAACGGUGAAACUCAAAGGAAUUGACGGGGGCCCGCACAAGCGGAGGAACAUGUGGUUUAAUUCGAUGAUACGCGAGGAACCUUACCUGGGCUUAAAUGUAGAGAGACCGCUUCCGAAAGGAGGCUUUCUUCGGACUGUUUACAAGGUGCUGCAUGGUUGUCGUCAGCUCGUGCCGUGAGGUGUCGGGUUAAGUCCCAUAACGAGCGCAACCCCUAUCGUUAGUUGCUAACAGGUUAAGCUGAGGACUCUAGCGAGACUGCCAUCGUAAGAUGAGAGGAAAGGUGGGGAUGACGUCNAAUCAGCACGGCCCUUACGUCCA
rnacentral:rRNA from 1 species